rnacentral:Y_RNA from 1 species
GGCUAAUCUAAAGGCAGUGAGUUAUCUCAAUUGAUUGUUCCGUCACUUACAUACUGAACUCCUUGUACUCUUUCUCCCUCUUGUCACUACUGCACUUGACUACACUUAA